UUUCCAGAGAUGGAUUGGUGCCUUCGGGAACUCUGACACAGGUGCUGCGUGGCUGUCGUCAGCUCGUGUCGUGAGAUGUUGGGUUAAGUCCCGUAACGAGCGCAACCCUUGUCCUUAGUUACCAGCACGUUAUGGUGGGCACUCUAAGGAGACUGCCGGUGACAAACCGGAGGAAGGUGGGGAUGACGUCAAGUCAUCAUGGCCCUUACGGCCUGGGCUACACACGUGCUACAAUGGUCGGUACAAAGGGUUGCCAAGCCGCGAGGUGGAGCUAAUCCCAUAAAACCGAUCGUAGUCCGGAUCGCAGUCUGCAACUCGACUGCGUGAAGUCGGAAUCGCUAGUAAUCGUGAAUCAGAAUGUCACGGUGAAUACGUUCCCGGGCCUU
rnacentral:rRNA from 1 species